GACGAACGCUGGCGGCGCGCCUAACACAUGCAAGUCGAACGAGAGAUGAGGAGCUUGCUCUUCAAAUCGAGUGGCGAACGGGUGAGUAACGCGUGAGGAACCUGCCUCAAAGAGGGGGACAACAGUUGGAAACGACUGCUAAUACCGCAUAAGCCCACGGGUCGGCAUCGACCAGAGGGAAAAACUCCGGUGGUAUAAGAUGGACCCGCGUCUGAUUAGCUUGUUGGUGAGGUAACGGCCCACCAAGGCGACGAUCAGUAGCCGGCCUGAGAGGGUGAACGGCCACAUUGGGACUGAGACACGGCCCAAACUCCUACGGGAGGCAGCAGUGGGGAAUAUUGCACAAUGGGGGAAACCCUGAUGCAGCGACGCCGCGUGAGUGAUGAAGUAUUUCGGUAUGUAAAACUCUAUCAGCAGGGAAGAUAAUGACGGUACCUGACUAAGAAGCACCGGCUAAAUACGUGCCAGCAGCCGCGGU
rnacentral:rRNA from 1 species